rnacentral:rRNA from 1 species
UACGUAGGGGGCAAGCGUUGUCCGGAAUUAUUGGGCGUAAAGCGCGCGCAGGCGGCCGUUUAAGUUUGGUGUUUAAGCCCGGGGCUCAACCCCGGAUCGCACUGAAAACUGGAUGGCUUGAGUGUAGGAGAGGAAAGUGGAAUUCCACGUGUAGCGGUGAAAUGCGAAGAGAUGUGGAGGAACACCAGUGGCGAAGGCGACUUUCUGGCCUAUAACUGACGCUGAGGCGCGAAAGCGUGGGGAGCAAACAGG